ACAAUGUAAAGGAGAUUGCCACGGGGCAGGUCCCUUUUGUGGUAUCGUGUGCCUGAAUGGAAUAAUAACCUAAAAAUAUUGUUUAUUUUUUUGUUUCCAAAUUAUUUUUUAUACAAUUUCUUUCACCCUGGGAAUAAAGUUAAAAUUAAUUAAUAGUUAAACAUUACGUCGACAUCCGUUUGAUUGGUAAACAAAAAAAAGUUGCCAGAUAUCAAAUAACUAUUGAAAAUUACGUAUUUUAAUCAAUAGAGUAAUCGAUAUCAAAACAAAACAGUUAUUAAAAAUAAAAAAAUACAAUUAUUUUUAAUUAUUAUUCUAACUAUAUUCAUGAUAAGUCUAUAUUGUUGAACAGAUAAGAUAAGAUAGAUAAGAUAAGAGCGAUUUUAAAUUAAAAUAAAAGCCUUACGUAAUUUAAAAACUUAAAUCGAUUUAUUAAUGAUUAAAUAUAAUUGCUCUGGCAACAUUUACUUGCGCAUGUCACAUCACUUUGACGUUCGUUCGUUGUGUGUUCGUGAUUGCUUUGUAUAAUACGUUGAGUUUUGAAUUCCGUAUUUACUUAGUUAUUAUUUACGAUACGUGCCUUUCUGCUACCACCGAGUUGAGCUAAUAAGUUCCUCGCGUACUUACUUUAUGUUUUGUGAGAUAAUUGACUCCUCUUUGUGAGAUAUUGACUCUAAGUGCUUGACUCUUGUUUGUGCUGUUCUUUGUGAGAUAAAGUGCUAUUCUUGGAGAACAAUUUGACUCUUAGUGAAAUCCUUGUGUGAUAUUGAACUCCCGAACUGUUUUGUCAGAACUAUGUCUACCCCAGCCAGAAGUCGGGCACACCGCCUGUCUUACCGACGCUGUAUUAACUGUUCCCUUUACUAGCGUCUAAUUUACGCCGGUAUACAGUUGAGGAGUUGAACGAGCAAAUGACAGUUCUUCUACGAACUUGGACAACGCCUACACCUGUAAGUUAUCGUGUGCAUAAACAAUAAUAAUUAUUGUGGACAAUAUAAAUAUAGUGGUUAAAUGCAUUAUGCAAACUCAAAAUAACAUUUGAUUAGAGUAAACUUAGCACUGUAAACUUAGUUCUUUAUGAGAGUUUAUGUAUUUACAAGUUUAAGCAGUUAUAAAUAUAGAAUAGUAUAGAAUAUAAUCUUUUCCAGGUAACGUCAGAUGAUAUCCUAUGUAUUGAAUGUUAUUUGCUGUUGCAAGAAAGGAUAUUGUCAAAUAUAACUGGAUCCCACGAGGAUAUAUCACCUGCAUAUGGUCACUUAAAUGUUUGUUAUGGAUGUGGUAUCUCUGUUGCAAGUCGGAGAACCCACAGAGUUGAGUUAGACUGUCCACAACGUAGCAUGAUUUUAAGAUGGACUUUAGCACAUCUGGUUCCACAUUUACAAAAAGUGUGCAUUCCUUGCUGGUUAGCAGCAACUCGGGAGACGAGACGUUUGGAGGUUCAAGAUUCAAACAGACCUGCAAGGGUCAUGGAUGCAGCUCUAUCUUCAUUAGAAGACCCGAGAUACCUGAACCACCUCCAAUGCCAGCUCCAACAUCUCAACCACAACAAGCAUUACGAGUUCAAUCUAAGAUUAACUCACAAAAGUAUAAACGAGUUGCUGCAGCUUCUCGUCACUGUAUGUUUGUAGGCUGUGAUAAUGAUGAACGUCUUUUAGUACCUAUGACUAUAAAGGAACUGUUGUUAUUGCAGUACAAUAUAUAUAUACCUUUAAAUGCUAGAAUCUGUCAUCACCAUUUAUAUAGCAAUCAGUGGGAUGAACUGACUACCAACCUAAAUGACUUUACUAGCUUUCAAGUUGAUGAUAUAUUUUCCAUACUGGAAAGAGCUUCUCAAAGAAGUUUAGAUUUUAAUAAUAUUGCAGCAAUGGAUGCACAUUUACGCCAUUAUUGGCUGGGACUUACAGAGAUGCAGUUUAAUGAAAUAUUAAAUAGCCUUCCUACUUUACAUAAUAAGGUUAGAAAUCCUAGCCUUGCAUUAAGCACAUUUCUUGUUAAACUUAGGACAGGGGACAGCAACCAAAGACUGGCAACUCUUUUUCAAUUGCCACGAUCUACAUUAGAAAAAAAAAUGAACAUUGUUAGGGAAUGUUUAAAAGAACAUUUUGUACCAAUGCAUUUGGGAGUUAAUCACACUAAUAUACAAAAUGUGGCCUCACGUAACAGGACUAUUCCUGAAGGUCUAUUCGGAGACAGUAGCAUGGCUCCAGAUUCUAAACCUGCUAUUGUCAUAUGUGAUGGUACAUAUGUUUAUGUACAGAGUAGUAGUAACUACAAAUAUCAGAAACAGACAUAUAGUCUACACAAAUAUAAUAAUUUGGUUAAACCCUUUUUAAUCACAUGUUGUGAUGGAUAUAUUUUAGAGUGCAUUGGACCAUAUGAAGCAACAAAAAAUGACUCGACAAUCAUGAGUGAUCUAUUUCGUAAUGAAAGUGGUCCAAUGCGCUCAUUUUUUAGACAGGGGGAUGUCUUUAUAUUGGAUAGGGGAUUUAGAGACGUGAUCCCUGAACUCCAAAGCUAUAAUUAUAAAACAUACAUGCCUGAGUCAUUAUUGGAAGGUGAAUUUCAAUUGACCACUGACCAAGCAAACAAGUCUAGGUGUGUGACUAUGUGUAGAUGGGUAGUUGAAAUUGUAAAUGGUCGCAUCAAAAGAGACUACAAACUGUUUCGACAAGAAUAUUUUAACAGAGCAUCAACACACCUUAUGGAUGAUUUUAAAAUUGUUUGUGCCCUUUUGAAUAAAUUCCACCCAACAAUUGAAGAUAGACCUGACGCUGCAGAGUAUGUGCAAAUUGCUCAGGCGAGAUUAAACAGUAGUAAUUAUUUGGGGGAAUUUAUUCGAAGGGAUAACAUCAAUAGGAGACGUACGGUUUUCCAAAACAUAGACAGCAAUGCUCCCCAUUUAGAUCAUUUUCCAAGAUUAACUUUAGAUGAUUUAAGAAGAUUUGCAUUGGGAUCUUACCAAUUAAAACAGGCUAGAUCCUAUUAUGGGGAGCACAUAAGAAGUAAUGGUACUUAUAAUGUUGAAGUAAGCAAUGAUGUCUUGGAAGAGGAUUUGCCCUUAAUAUUGGGUCAAAAUAAUUAUUUAAUUAGGACUAGAAUUAAGUCCCGCCAUGUGAGCCAUAAAACAUAUUACUCUUAUUUGUUGAUAAGUAGAGAUGAAGAUCGGGCAAAUUCUUUAGAAAGUAUCAUUGCUUACUAUUGUAACUGUCUAGUGGGUAACCGUACGGUAGGGUGUUGUGCUCAUACUAUGACAGUAUUGUGGUAUUUAAGCUGGGGCCGCUUCAACAAUGUGAGUGCUCCAGCUCAAUCUUUGGACGAAAUAUUUUAUGAAGAAUAAAUAGUUUAUUCAUG